rnacentral:rRNA from 1 species
GAUGAACGCUGGCGGCGUGCUUAACACAUGCAAGUCGAACGAUGAAGCCCAGCUUGCUGGGUGGAUUAGUGGCGAACGGGUGAGUAACACGUGAGUAACCUGCCCUUAACUCUGGGAUAAGCCUGGGAAACUGGGUCUAAUACCGGAUAGGAGCGCCUACCGCAUGGUGGGUGUUGGAAAGAUUUAUCGGUUAUGGAUGGACUCGCGGCCUAUCAGCUUGUUGGUGAGGUAAUGGCUCACCAAGGCGACGACGGGUAGCCGGCCUGAGAGGGUGACCGGCCACACUGGGACUGAGACACGGCCCAGACUCCUACGGGAGGCAGCAGUGGGGAAUAUUGCACAAUGGGCGAAAGCCUGAUGCAGCGACGCCGCGUGAGGGAUGACGGCCUUCGGGUUGUAAACCUCUUUCAGUAGGGAAGAAGCGAAAGUGACGGUACCUGCAGAAGAAGCACCGGCUAACUACGUG